ensembl:lncRNA
CAUAGCAGUCCACGAAACAACUUAAAUUCCUCGCGUUUGUUUGCGUCUUCUCCCAAAGGUCAUACAUCCAUCACCCAUGCCAGCCGCUGCAGGCACAACCGAAGUUGGAGACACAGCCGGGGAAAGUUGCCCGUCAGUACUGGCGGUGUAGCUUGUCCUUUGCUUGGAAGACCGGUGUGGAUGGCAUGCUGGCUCCGUAAAUUAAGUGGCGGCGGCUGGUGCUGGUGCUGGUGCUGGUGGAUGCUGCUGAUGGUGGAUGCUGAUGGCGGUGGCUGCUGCUGAUGGCGGUGGAUGCUGAUGGCGGUGGCUGUUGCUGAUGGCGGUGGAUGCUGCUAGCGGUUGCUGGUGGCUUGAGCUGGCUGGUGCCGGCAAACACUGCUAGUGCAGGUGGCUGAUGCUUGAGGCGAUGGCUGCUUGAGCUGGCGAAGGAUGGUGGUGUUGACUUCUGCUGCUAGUGGUGGCGUCUUGUGCUGACGACGGCUGUUGGUGGUGGCGACUGCUGGUGGCGGCUGGUGGUGGUGACGGCUGCUGGCUGCGAUUGUAAUCCUUCCUUUUGACCUGAUGCACUUUGCUAUCCUUGACCUCAGCCUGAGUAUUUUGUUUGUUUAUUAAUAACUUUUAAUAUUCCUCCCUGUUCCUUCACUUUGUUCUUGUUUUUCAAGUUAGAUAUACACGCACACCUGUUCACACAUUUGUUGUUCUUGUUCCACACAUGACUAACUUUGUUUUAUUUAUUCUUUAUUGUGUUAUAUUGAAAUGUGUGCCAAUUUUUGCAAUAUCUGGCAACCCGGGAUGCUCAGAGAACAGCGAAUCACAGCACGCAAGCCAAAACAAAAACAAACGUUCAGACCUGGAACGGAACUUGCGAAGUAUAACAUUCUGGCUGUUGAAUUGUUGAAGGAGUAGCCGCAGUACAUGGAUGCAUAUAGCUCCUUUAAUGUUUGUUAAUCAGGUAUCAGCUACACCAUUAACUAAUUAUCUUAUUGGGUAUUUAUUACUGAUUAUGAAUUCAUUUUGAAUGAGUAUGUAUACAUGU